rnacentral:rRNA from 1 species
AUACGGAGGGGGCAAGCGUUGUUCGGAAUUACUGGGCGUAAAGGGCGCGUAGGCGGACGAUCAAGUCAGGGGUGAAAGGCCUGGGCUCAACCUGGGAAUUGCCUUUGAAACUGAUUGUCUAGAGUCCGGAAGAGGAUGGCGGAAUUCCCAGUGUAGAGGUGAAAUUCGUAGAUAUUGGGAAGAACACCGGUGGCGAAGGCGGCCAUCUGGUCCGGAACUGACGCUAAGGCGCGAAAGCGUGGGGAGCAAACAGGAUUAGAAACCCGGGUAGUCC